rnacentral:sRNA from 1 species
GUUCUCUGCAAUGCCCAAAAGUCCACAAUUUUGUUUUUAAUUUCUGGGUCAGCCGGGGAUUAAGCUGUGGCUCAGUGGUUAGGUGGUGCAGCGAACGGGGAUCUCAACUGGGCGGUGCGGUGGGUCAAAGUCAUAUGUACGCGUAUAUACAGUGCGCGGGCGGGGCAUUUAUAUACAGCUUCGUUGGGGCAGUAGUUGAGUUUGGUAUCAGAUCGAAGUGCUGGGUGGGUCAAGCUGUAUCCAAUAACAUCGAACAUCCUUACAUUAUGACACAAGAUGCAUAGCUACUCAUGUGUCUGAACCCUAGGGUGGACCUAAAUCUCUAUUGGUUUGCACAAGCCUUAAACAGAUAUUACGCAUACGCAACGUUGCCGUUGCGUGCACAGUUGGGCUGCCAAAAGCUAGCCUACUUAACAGGUUUGUAUUGAAGUGCAGUAAUGAAAAUUUAGAUUUUGUUUUUCCAAAAGGUCCACCCCAGUCUAAAUACACAUAUGUAUAUAUGCAUAUUGAUACGACGUAGUGUGGUUGUGAGUAAUGUGCAAUGGGAGCAUUAAGAUGGAACACAAACAGCAAACGUAUAUAUAUUUACAGCAAUUUAGCCAAGUUAUUUAUCAAUUAAGCCAGUUACCCUACAUUCUAGCCCUAAAUACCAAGAAUCAAAUCUCAAUAAAACGUAUUUCAUAGAUACACAUCAAAGUAGAUUGUUGUUUUCAUUCAUCGAAUCAUCAAGUUAUCACUAUAAAUUAUAAACAGCGAGUGCUUGUCCAAAUGUACAUAUAUGCAUGGUACACAGAAAGUGUCCAGACAAGAUGGAUCUCUUGGGGAUUCGAGUUGCUUGCCAUGGCAUCGGUUUAUUUGAAUAUAUUAUGGAAAUCGGAAAGAUAUUUUUAGGACCAGCAAAGAGCGAAAUGCGCGCGCAUAUAGUAUUACACAUACAAAAAGCAAAACCACGGCCCGUACAAAAACAAAUUAUCGAGAGAGCUGGCUCCGUAUGAGUUUCAUCGCGAAUUCGCAUGUGUUUGGAAUUCCACUCGCCCAUAUAUAUUCUAAACAUUUUUGGGCACCAGACCAUUAGACCGCCAGACCAGACGGACCUCAGCAUUUUGUAAAUAAUAAUAAAAUAGAUAGAGAAGAAAAUGUUCGGCCUCCGCUGAAUUCU